GGCCUCGUAGCUCAGCUGGUAGAGCAUGCGCGUACAAAGCGUAGGCGGGGUCCAUGCGUGGGUUCGAAUCCCACCGAGGCUA
rfam:Echinostoma caproni strain Egypt genome assembly, scaffold: ECPE_scaffold0022873